rnacentral:rRNA from 1 species
GAUGAACGCUGGCGGCGUGCCUAAUACAUGCAAGUCGAGCGAACAGAUGAGGAGCUUGCUCCUCUGACGUUAGCGGCGGACGGGUGAGUAACACGUGGAUAACCUACCUAUAAGACUGGGAUAACUUCGGGAAACCGGAGCUAAUACCGGAUAAUAUAUUGAACCGCAUGGUUCAAUAGUGAAAGACGGUUUUGCGGUCACUUAUAGAUGGAUCCGCGCCGCAUUAGCUAGUUGGUAAGGUAACGGCUUACCAAGGCAACGAUGCGUAGCCGACCUGAGGGGGUGAUCGGCCACACUGGAACUGAGACACGGUCCAGACUCCUACGGGAGGCAGCAGUAGGGAAUCUUCCGCAAUGGGCGAGAGCCUGACGGAGCACCGCCGCGUGAGUGAUGAAGGUCUUCUGAUCGUAAAACUCUGUUAUUAGGGAAAAACAAAUGUGUAAGUAACUAUGCACGUCUUGACGGUACCUAAUCAGAAAGCCACGGCUAACUACGUG